rnacentral:rRNA from 2 species
ACUGAUUGAACGUGCUUGCACGGACUUGACGUUGGUUUACCAGCGAGUGGCGGACGGGUGAGUAACACGUAGGUAACCUGCCCCAAAGCGGGGGAUAACAUUUGGAAACAGAUGCUAAUACCGCAUAACAAUUUGAAUCGCAUGAUUCAAAUUUAAAAGAUGGCUUCGGCUAUCACUUUGGGAUGGACCUGCGGCGCAUUAGCUUGUUGGUAGGGUAACGGCCUACCAAGGCUGUGAUGCGUAGCCGAGUUGAGAGACUGAUCGGCCACAAUGGAACUGAGACACGGUCCAUACUCCUACGGGAGGCAGCAGUAGGGAAUCUUCCACAAUGGGCGCAAGCCUGAUGGAGCAACACCGCGUGAGUGAAGAAGGGUUUCGGCUCGUAAAGCUCUGUUGUUAGAGAAGAACGUGCGUGAGAGCAACUGUUCACGCAGUGACGGUAUCUAACCAGAAAGUCACGGCUAACUACG